rnacentral:rRNA from 1 species
AAGUCGUAACAAGGUUUCCGUAGGUGAACCUGCGGAGGAUCAUUG